rnacentral:rRNA from 1 species
AUUGAACGCUGGCGGCAUGCCUUACACAUGCAAGUCGAACGGUAACAGGUCUUCGGAUGCUGACGAGUGGCGAACGGGUGAGUAAUACAUCGGAACGUGCCCAGUAAUGGGGGAUAGCCCGGCGAAAGCCGGAUUAAUACCGCAUACGCCCUGAGGGGGAAAGUGGGGGACCGCAAGGCCUCACGUUAUUGGAGCGGCCGAUGGCUGAUUAGCUAGUUGGUGAGGUAAAGGCUCACCAAGGCGACGAUCAGUAGCUGGUCUGAGAGGACGAUCAGCCACGCUGGGACUGAGACACGGCCCAGACUCCUACGGGAGGCAGCAGUGGGGAAUUUUGGACAAUGGGGGCAACCCUGAUCCAGCAAUGCCGCGUGUGCGAAGAAGGCCUUCGGGUUGUAAAGCACUUUUGUCAGGGAAGAAAUCCUUUGGGCUAAUACCCUAGGGGGAUGACGGUACCUGAAGAAUAAGCACCGGCUAACUACGUGCCAGCCGCCGCAGUAA